AUUGAACGCUGGCGGCAGGCCUAACACAUGCAAGUCGAGCGGAUGAAGGGAGCUUGCUCCUGGAUUCAGCGGCGGACGGGUGAGUAAUGCCUAGGAAUCUGCCUGGUAGUGGGGGAUAACGUCCGGAAACGGGCGCUAAUACCGCAUACGUCCUGAGGGAGAAAGUGGGGGAUCUUCGGACCUCACGCUAUCAGAUGAGCCUAGGUCGGAUUAGCUAGUUGGUGGGGUAAAGGCCUACCAAGGUGACGAUCCGUAACUGGUCUGUGAGGAUGAUCAGUCACACUGGAACUGAGACACGGUCCAGACUCCUACGGGAGGCAGCAGUGGGGAAUAUUGGACAAUGGGCGAAAGCCUGAUCCAGCCAUGCCGCGUGUGUGAAGAAGGUCUUCGGAUUGUAAAGCACUUUAAGUUGGGAGGAAGGGCAGUAAGUUAAUACCUUGCUGUUUUGACGUUACCAACAGAAUAAGCACCGGCUAACUUCGUG
rnacentral:rRNA from 1 species